UUGCAACCAAUUAAAAUAAAGGAAUUGUUGUGUUCCAUUAUUAUAAACAAUAGGAACUGAUUUAAAUAAAGCAAGGUAUCGGAGGGCCGAUUUGGUAAUUAUAAAACUAACAAUAGAGUUGUUGAUCAAACAAUUACCACAAGGAGUGGGUUUUGCUAUUUUAAAAUAAGGAGAGGGACUAAUUUUUGCCAAGUUCAUCAAAUGGACAAAAGGAAUGUGUCUUCUUAAUCCGUUCAUUAGGUUGAGCAAAGGAAAAGAAACGGAUGCUUUCAUCAAGGGGGUCGAUCAGAGGUGAAACGGGAACAAAUGCAUAAACCGAGGGCCAACCAUCUAAUUCCGGCGAGCCUUUCUUGUUUCCGAUGAAUCUUUGUCAGCAGCAAAGGAAAACGAAGGGAGAAGGGGAUCUCCAGUCUUCACCUAUUCAAGAAAGUGAAGGGGACGAAGGCAACAACGAGGGUUAGCCACCCAUCUCCAAUGCCCCACCACAGUCCUUCUCUCAUCAUCGGUGACAACAACCAAGGGGAAUAAGAAAUCGACGACGAAUUAGGUGCCUUGAUGGAGGUAUUCCAUCGUGAAGGGAAGAAGGGUUUUGUUCCUCAUCUGACUGAUGGCAAGGAAGAAUGAGCUGAAUAACUGGGGGUGAUUGGUGGUGUUUCUCGUCAUCAGAAGGGGAAGAAGGAGGGGCGUUUUCCCUUUCUCCAGCGACCCUUGUGGGUCCUUCUUCUUGUCUUCGGUAAUCACAAUUGCAGGGAAGCAAAACAGCAGUAGCAACGAUCAAAAAGUGUGUUUGGGUUGUUUCAAUCGACAGGGAAUGUGUAAGAAAAGAACCAAAAGAAGAGGUUGAUGGCCUCUUGUUGUUUCCUGGCAGCCACGAUCAAAGAAGAAAGAAGAAGAAGAAGAAGAUUGUUUGAUAGAGAUUGAGUGUGUUUUUGUAUAAUGUGUAGUGUGAUUUUGUAUAACACAGUUGUGUGUAGUUUUGGGUAAGAUGAAGUGUAUAAGAAACGUACUUGUCAGUUCCAUUUAUUGUUGUACUUUGAGGUAAAUUUAGAAGCAAUGUAUUCCUUCAAUCAUUCUAUGUAUUGGUGUAUAUAUUACAUGUAUUUGUAUAUGUAUAAUCAUGUAUUUGUGCAUGUAAAAACAUGUAUUUGUAUAUGUAUAAACAUGUUUUUUAUGUAUUA